ensembl:lncRNA
CGGGUCGAACCCCGGCUGCUUCUGUGUCAAUGUGUCUCUGAGUAAGACACCCAACCCGCUGGCUGCAGCACGCCGCUCCACUGGGUCAAAUGCAGAGGACAAUGCAACCCAUCCACAGAAACUUGGGGAGGAAAAGACUUCAGGAAAGAUGCAAAGUCGGUAAUGUUGGCUUAUGAUGACAGCCAUAGUAAUGUGAUUAAUAUUAAUGAUAAUAUCUAUAGCAGCAACAGUUGUCAGCAGGGCCACGGCAGGAGGCGAGAACAGGGCCCGGAUAGAACCAUGAUCAGUGGAAACCUGUGAGACUGCUGGAUUGACUGUAACCGCGGGUAACCGUGACAUCUAGUGGCUCAAGUAGGAGGCAAACACCUGGAUGAGAAGCGCUUCCAUCCCCACGGCUACAAGGUAGUUUCAUAGUCUUCACUUCCACUGGGCUGACAGGCGGGUUGGAGAGAACACCACCAACCGCUGGUCUCACACGGACGGUGCAGGAGUAACAAUGCAGGGGCGGAGGGACAGGGACUCAGGUGCAGUGCAAUACGAGACUCCUCCAAGGACUGACGGUGUUAUUAAAUGGUGUCAACAGAAGAAGACAUCUAGAAGGUACUGGUCCUAAACGGUCCGACUAUGUUUGAGUUCAUGAGAGAGCUGAAGUUCCUCCUCUGCUCCACUCUGAUUGAAGACACUGGGGUUUCCCAUAAAGGAUUUCCUCAAAGCGCUGCCUUCACUGUUUAGAAUGUUAGCAUGCUAACAUCUGCUAAUGGGCACCAAACAACAGCAGAAGCCGGCGGCCAUGUCACUUGAUCAGC